rnacentral:rRNA from 1 species
UUGAGCGGGGGACAACAUUUGGAAACGAAUGCUAAUACCGCACAACAACUUUAAACACAAGUUUUAAGUUUGAAAGAUGCAAUUGCAUCACUCAAAGAUGAUCCCGCGUUGUAUUAGCUAGUUGGUGAGGUAAAGGCUCACCAAGGCGAUGAUACAUAGCCGACCUGAGAGGGUGAUCGGCCACAUUGGGACUGAGACACGGCCCAAACUCCUACGGGAGGCAGCAGUAGGGAAUCUUCGGCAAUGGACGAAAGUCUGACCGAGCAACGCCGCGUGAGUGAAGAAGGUUUUCGGAUCGUAAAACUCUGUUGGUAGAGAAGAACGUUGGUAAGAGUGGAAAGCUCAUCAAGUGACGGUAACUACCCAGAAAGGGACGGCUAACUACGUGCCAGCAGCCGCGGUAAUACGUAGGUCCCGAGCGUUGUCCGGAUUUAUUGGGCGUAAAGCGAGCGCAGGUGGUUUAUUAAGUCUGGUGUAAAAGGCAGUGGCUCAACCAUUGUAUGCAUUGGAAACUGGUAGACUUGAGUGCAGGAGAGGAGAGUGGAAUUCCAUGUGUAGCGGUGAAAUGCGUAGAUAUAUGGAGGAACACCGGUGGCGAAAGCGGCUCUCUGGCCUGUAACUGACACUGAGGCUCGAAAGCGUGGGGAGCAAACAGGAUUAGAUACCCUGGUAGUCCACGCCGUAAACGAUGAGUGCUAGAUGCAGGGAGCUAUAAGUUCUCUGUAUCGCAGCUA